GUCAGGCUUCACCAUCCUUGUCCUUGCGUUCUGACCGGGUUGUAGUCAGGCAGAUCAUCUCCCAGGACCUCCGACGAGCGGCGCGGUGAACCAGAAGCCCCGAAGCCUCCAUGAUGUCCCGGAGUCGAUCGAGCGGGGGCGGCUCCUCCAGCCUCCCCCAGUCCUCCAGCCUCCCCCUCCCCACCAGCUCCGUCUCCCCCAAGAUAGACGCCGUCCGGCAGCAGCAGCAGCAGCAGUACACCCCCCUGCCUGCCCACCUGGCCGCUCAGCUCCAGCGCGCCCGGAGCCGCUCGUUCUACGGCUCGUCUCCGUCGUCGGCGUCGACCACGCCCUCGGCGGUGGACGUUCUCCAGAGAGCCGCUCUGAAGAACCAGCUCCUGCAGGAGAGCAGCAGCAGCAGCAGCAGCAGCAGCACAAGGGCCUCCCCG
ensembl:lncRNA